rnacentral:rRNA from 1 species
UACAGAGGUCCCAAGCGUUGUUCGGAUUCACUGGGCGUAAAGGGUGCGUAGGUGGUCGGGUAAGUCUGAUGUGAAAUCUCCGGGCCUAACCCGGAAACUGCAUCGGAUACUAUUCGGCUAGAGGGUUGGAGGGGGGACUGGAAUACUUGGUGUAGCAGUGAAAUGCGUAGAUAUCAAGUGGAACACCAGUGACGAAGGCGAGUCCCUGGACAACUCCUGACACUGAGGCACGAAAGCUAGGGGAGCAAACAGG